AACAUCUGCUUGCAGCAUUCAGAAAGCUGAUACCCCGAAAACACUGGACAAUCCAGCAAUUAUAUGAAGAAUGAAGAAGCUAGCAGUGGAGUCAGAUGGUGCCACAGCUUCUUCUGUGUUGGGCAUGCAGAGCUCUGGGCUUUUUCUUUUCUUUUCUUUUUUUCAGGUGUCUGGGAGUGGCUGCACAGAGAAAUGAACUGUGUGGGAUGAGGGUGUCUCUAGUCCCAGCCCAGUUAGGAAGUCACUAAAUGGCCCAGGCUGAUCUUCCAGGGAUCUGCCCACCAUGCCCUGCUGAAUCUUCACUCUAUCUUCAUUUAACAUGGACAUAGUGAAGAGCCAAGCCUGCGUUUCACACCUCUUUUGCACUGUGGAAUGGAAUGAACUGGUGGGAAUACAAAGUAGCUGACAUUGUGAUUCCUUCUGUCUUCCUCUUGUUCUUAUCAGAGCCCCGCAGAAAAUAACUUUCCAACCCAGCCCUGCGCAGAUGAAGUAAAUCGGAUCAUCCUACCUGCCUUCUGUCUCAAGGGAAUUUGAAUUUGUACCUUAACUCAGUCGGUGAGACACUAUUAAAGGAAUGAACCCUAAGAAAUUAGAAUUUUCCCAGGAAUUUCUUGAAGAGUGAGGAAUUGGCUGAGUCUCUGGCCCAUCCAGAUGUCUUAUCUUCUGGAGAAAGAUUUAUGAUUUGUCAGAAGACCUUACAGGAGAAACUUGGAGCCAAGACAGUGAUUGACAAGGACCUGCAUGUCAACGAUUGCUUUCUGAUCAAACCCUCCCUCCCCUUCAGGAUACUGAAGAUGAACUUUGGGGAGCAGAGCGUCACUGGAUCUCUUUGUCCCUCUAUCUAAGAUGUAUAUUAUUGCAAAGCAGACUAAAAUUCAAUGAAUGUAACAUGAUGCGUCUACAUGGAAAAGGCCUGGUGCUUGACUUUCCACGUGCUACACCUCGACCUUGCUAAGAAGAAAAUGCAAGUCAUGAGCUGGGCAUCUCUACCUUCUGCUUCCCCUGUUUGCAGUAUCAGCAAAGAAGAAAUUCUUCCACACGAUGUCUAUACAGGUCACGUAAGGGUGAAUCUAAUGUGUCCACUUGACAUGGCGACUGUGCCUAGGUAUUUUGAAAAACAUUAUUAUGGUUAUUCUG